rnacentral:rRNA from 1 species
UACGUAGGGUGCAAGCGUUAAUCGGAAUUACUGGGCGUAAAGCGUGCGCAGGCGAUGAUGUAAGACAGGUGUGAAAUCCCCGGGCUUAACCUGGGAACUGCAUUUGUGACUGCAUCGCUGGAGUGCGGCAGAGGGGGAUGGAAUUCCGCGUGUAGCAGUGAAAUGCGUAGAUAUGCGGAGGAACACCGAUGGCGAAGGCAAUCCCCUGGGCCUGCACUGACGCUCAUGCACGAAAGCGUGGGGAGCAAACAGG